rnacentral:rRNA from 1 species
AGAUUGAACGCUGGCGGCAUGCCUAACACAUGCAAGUCGAACGGGAGUAGCAAUACUCUAGUGGCGGACGGGUGAGGAAUACGUAGGAAUUUGCCCUUAAGUGGGGGAUAACCCGGGGAAACCCGGAUUAAUACCGCAUGACCUCGAAAGAGCAAAGUGGGGGAUCGCAAGACCUCACGCUUUUGGAGAAGCCUACGUCGGAUUAGCUAGUUGGUGAGGUAAUGGCUCACCAAGGCGACGAUCCGUAACUGGUCUGAGAGGAUGAUCAGUCACACCGGAACUGAGACACGGUCCGGACUCCGUACGGGAGGCAGCAGUGGGGAAUA